ACAGACACAGCGGAAUCGCUUCGCGUGCACUUUUGGGUCUAUCGGAAGAGUGUAACUUAGAGUAUUGAAUGGAAAAGGGUCUCCAGAAAGUCUAACAUCUCAACAACAAAACAUUUGCCUGUCUUUCUCGGAGCACCACAUCAUUCUGGGACAUAUCAACAGCUGACCUAAGUAAUAUUCUGACAUGGAAGGCGAGUUCAAUGUGGAGAAGUUCCGUGAUCCUGACGAGACUCAAGCAACAUGGCGCCUCAGAAAAGCAUUCCUUGAAACCCACCAUGACAAAUUUCCUACUGAUCGACUUGUGUGUUUGGCCAAGUGUUUUAUCAAUGUAGAAGUUGAUGGCUGCAAGUACCCAAAUCAAGUGAUGAUACAGCUUGCUGAACUCAAAAGGGGAACUGGAUCUUGACCAGUGAAAAGACAGAUGAACCUGUAAAUGUUGAUCAAUGAUUGAUUUCAGUAAAACAACAAAAUGCAACACAGAGUGUCUUGUGAAAACUGGCAUAUGGCUGGUUUAACUCUAAAAGAUUGGAAGAUAUGUCAUACACAUGUUUGGCCAUGUUUAACUGAAAUAUUAUCGUUUUGUCAAAUGUCUCCUUUUCAUAAAUGUCCAUCUCAUCUUCGAGGCUUAAAUUGUGUUUUUAAAGCUUGACGAAAUUUUAUUACCAUUUAUAUCUCCAUCAUCAUGCUCAUCUAUUCAACUCAUUAUGGCACAUGCUUAGCUAACAUUCUGUCGAUGUGAUUGUGUUAUGUGCAUAUUGAUCAAUACACAGAAAACAGUUACACUUAAUUCUGAAAAUGGGAAAUCUAGAUUUCACAAGAAGAAAAAUGUGCAGUUUUGUUUUUACCAUGUCAUAUCUGAAGCAACGUAGUUUUAUCAGUCCGCCCGAGAUCCUACAAAACAUCCAAGUAUUUGUAACAAAAUUACUUCUUCUCAUCUCAUUUACAUAUUUAGAAUGCUGAUGUUAUGUUUUCUUGUCAGUAUCCUUUAAACUUGAUUUUACUUGGUGCUCAUAAAAAUACAAUUAAUCAUAAUGA